GACGGAGGAUGCAAGCGUUAUCCGGAAUGAUUGGGCGAAAGCGUCUGCAGGUGGCAGUUCAAGUCUGCUGUCAAAGACCGGGGCUUAACUUCGGAAAGGCAGUGGAAACUGAACAGCUAGAGUAUGGUAGGGGCAGAGGGAAUUCCUGGUGUAGCGGUGAAAUGCGUAGAGAUCAGGAAGAACAUCGGUGGCGAAGGCGCUCUGCUGGACCAUAACUGACACUCAGGGACGAAAGCUAGGGGAGCGAAUGGG
rnacentral:rRNA from 1 species